GAUCCGCUCCGUUGGCCUAAAUGGUUUCAGCAUCCGCCUCGUAUGCGGGAGGUCGCGGCUUCGAAACCCGGCGGAAUUA